CGAAGCAACGCGAAGAACCUUUACCAGGUCUUGACAUCCCGAUGCUAUUUCUAGAGAUAGAAAGUUACUUCGGUACAUCGGUGACAGGUGGUGCAUGGUUGUCGUCAGCUCGUGUCGUGAGAUGUUGGGUUAAGUCCCGCAACGAGCGCAACCCCUAUUGUUAGUUGCCAUCAUUCAGUUGGGCACUCUAGCGAGACUGCCGGUAAUAAACCGGAGGAAGUGGGAUGACGUCAAUCAUCAUGCCCCUUAUGACCUGGGCUACACACGUGCUACAAUGGUUGGUACAACGAGUUGCGAGUCGGUGACGGCGAGCUAAUCUCUUAAAGCCAAUCUCAGUUCGGAUUGUAGGCUGCAACUCGCCUACAUGAAGUCGGAAUCGCUAGUAAUCGCGGAUCAGCACGCCGCGGUGAAUACGUUCCCGGGCCUU
rnacentral:rRNA from 1 species